GCCCGCCUAGCUCAACUGGUAGAGCACUUCACUUGUAAUGAAGAGGUUUAGGGUUCGAGUCCCUAGGCGGGCU
rnacentral:tRNA from 1 species